UUGUUUUUCGAUGCUGAACCUCUCUGUGGCCAAAUCGGAGCCAAACCACCAGCCAAUUGGCCGAAAAACAUCGUUGAAGUCCAGCGGCGCCGCCGCAAGUUUCCUCAGUUUUUGUUUCCGAUGAGGCCCUUCCCGGUUUUCGUUCGAUGUAAUUUUUAUACUACUGUAACCACCGUCCUUUUCUCUACAGGUUGACCGGAGCAAAACACCAAAUCGCAACUUGUGCC
rnacentral:lncRNA from 1 species